GAGCUAUCCAGCAGAGAUGUUCAAGUCUUUAUUUUCAUUCUUUCUUCUGUCCUUUAUUUUUUCAUUUCUUUAAUUAGUUUCUUUCUUUUUUCUACUUUUCUUCCAUCCUCUACUUGCCUUUUUUACCGCAUGAUUCCAGAAGAACUUUCUUGACCCAAAGGUAGAGACUGUCCCUGAGCCCCUGCUCUGCAUCCCUGACCUCACUGCAUGUUUCCUUCACAGAUGCUGCUUCUCUUUGCUACAUCUUCACUGUUGGCAAGUCAGGGUCUGGACCAUGGCAGCACAAAGUCCAAGGCCAACUGAACGAAGAGACUUUCCUUUCCUACAACAGUAUCAACAACUGUCAUGUGUUUGGUGUUCUGGGGAUCAGACUGAAUGCCACAAAGAUCUGUGACAAACAGGUUGACACUCUGAAAGAUGGAGCUGACCUGAUCAAGCAGCAAGUGAUUCGCAUGAAUAAUAUAAUCAGAGAGCCCCUCACUCUGCAGGCCAAGAUGCAUUGUUGGCAUGAUGGAGAUGGACAUUUCAAUGCAUCCUGGGACAUUGGCCUCAAUGGACAGAAAAUACUGCACUUUGACUCAAGCACUGGGA
rnacentral:lncRNA from 1 species